AGAGUUUGAUCAUGGCUCAGGAUGAACGCUGGCGGCGUGCCUAACACAUGCAAGUCGAACGGAGUUAUGAUGAAACCUAGUGAUUCAUAACUUAGUGGCGGACGGGUGAGUAACGUGUGGGUAACCUGCCGUAUACAGGGGGAUAACACUUAGAAAUAGGUGCUAAAACCGCAUAAGCGCACAGGAUCGCAUGAUCCGGUGUGAAAAACUCCGGUGGUAUACGAUGGACCCGCAUCUGAUUAGCUAGUUGGUGAGGUAACGGCCCACCAAGGCGACGAUCAGUAGCCGGCCUGAGAGGGUGAACGGCCACAUUGGGACUGAGACACGGCCCAAACUCCUACGGGAGGCAGCAGUGGGGAAUAUUGCACAAUGGGGGAAACCCUGAUGCAGCAACGCCGCGUGAGUGAAGAAGUAUUUCGGUAUGUAAAGCUCUAUCAGCAGGGAAGAAAAUGACGGUACCUGACUAAGAAGCCCCGGCUAACUACGUGCCUGCAGCCGCGGCAAUACGUAGGGGGCAAGCGUUAUCCGGAUUUACUGGGUGUAAAGGGAGCGUAGACGGUUAAGCAAGUCUGAAGUGAAAUGCCGGGGCUCAACCCCGGAACUGCUUUGGAAACUGUUAAACUGGAGUGCAGGAGAGGUAAGUGGAAUUCCUAGUGUAGCGGUGAAAUGCGUAGAUAUUAGGAGGAACACCAGUGGCGAAGGCGGCUUACUGGACUGUAACUGACGUUGAGGCUCGAAAGCGUGGGGAGCAAACAGGAUUAGAUACCCUAGUAGUCCACGCCGUAAACGAUGAUUACUAG
rnacentral:rRNA from 1 species